rnacentral:rRNA from 1 species
GACGAACGCUGGCGGCGUGCUUAACACAUGCAAGUCGAACGGAAAGGCCCUGCUUUUGUGGGGUGCUCGAGUGGCGAACGGGUGAGUAACACGUGAGUAACCUGCCCUUGACUUUGGGAUAACUUCAGGAAACUGGGGCUAAUACCGGAUAGGAGCUCCUGCUGCAUGGUGGGGGUUGGAAAGUUUCGGCGGUUGGGGAUGGACUCGCGGCUUAUCAGCGUGUUGGUGGGGUAGUGGCUUACCAAGGCUUUGACGGGUAGCCGGCCUGAGAGGGUGACCGGCCACAUUGGGACUGAGAUACGGCCCAGACUCCUACGGGAGGCAGCAGCGGGGAAUAUUGCACAAUGGGCGGAAGCCUGAUGCAGCAACGCCGCGUGCGGGAUGACGGCCUUCGGGUUGUAAACCGCUUUCGCCUGUGACGAGGCGUGAGUGACGGUAAUGGGUAAAGAAGCACCGGCUAACUACGUG